GUUGUUAGUCUUUCUAGUCCAAAUUUUGUAAGUGAGGUCAUCUUUCUGGUGCUACCUUAGAAACUGGCCUUAUUCUAUAAAGGACAUUGAAUGAUAACACUGCGAGUCAGCUGACUGCUGUGUCACAGAGCUGCUGCUUUCUACAUUAUCGCAACUGCCAGAGCUCUUAGUGCUGCAGUUUUCUAGUCGCAGUGCGGCAAAGCAGACGCAUAGAACCAGGCACAAAGCAACAUAGAUUUUUUUUUUUGGUUUUGCUCUUCUGGCUUUUUAUAUGAGGACAGUGUACCUGUGUUAGCAUAGGAGCAGACAUACAGCCUGGACGUGCAUGGUGGCUUCUAACUUUGCAGCGUUUUCCAGCUGAGCAGUAAUUGCUUGGAGCCUUGUACCCAAAUUGCCUCUGAUGAAGAACGGCUGGGUUCCCACUUUGUAUACUUAUAGUUUUGUAUGCCACGAUGAUAUAGCUGCAAGAAUAAGACAAAGGAGAUGGUACUUGUCACUGUCUGUCUGAUUGGGGCCUUUGCAGCCACUCCACUGCCGAAGCUGUUUAAAUAUCCCAGGCUCACAUAUAAUAUUGAUAAUAUAGAUUGCCGCAGUUUCUUACAUCAGUUAGAGCAAAGCUCAAACAAGAAACCAGACUCGCUGACCUAAAUCAAUCCCAAUCUUUCUGGAUACGGGGCAGCAGUCGGCUAGCAAUGACACAACCAGCCAUCAAGUGGAGAGUCUCUGGGAUUGCAAUCUUUAUCAGUUGGAGCCUGUGAGAAUGAAACACUCCACUUUUGGUUAUCCAAUUGCUUCUUCUUUUCUUUUUUUUCGUUCCCGUAAGCAGCUACUAAUUGUGCUCGGUCUCUAAGUGUAUAUUUGUGUGGAUUAGUUUGUCUCUAAUGCAGUCCUUAUCUGCUUUUGCUGGAAAUCAGGGCACCAAGUCAGCUUGCUUUAACAGUUGUUUCUUUCUGCGUGAUGCUAUGCAACUACACUGACAACAAAGGAGCAAGCACAAACCAUCACUAUUUUCUGGGCUGUUACAGGAACAUAAUUCUUGUUUGAUAUGAUGCCCUCCUUUUUUCUUUUCUGCCUUUUUUUAAUUCAUCUAAUUGAAGAACCUAACAGACAUCAUCGUGGAUGUGGUUUUUAAUGAUUUGGAAAAGACAGCCUGUGGAGACUGCGAUUUGAGACAGCAACACAUUUAGGUUAUUGCCAAUUUGAAAUACUUGGUUUGUGAAGCACAGCCCUAAGGGACAAGCUCAGUAUCUGAGCGAGAUUGUAGAUAAAGAAAUAAAAAUGACAAGCGUAAUGGAGGUUCUGCAAAAGAGACUGUCAGAGAAUCAGUUCAUGGAUGGCAAUUUCACCAGUCUGAAACUGAAUAAUUCAUAGAAUGAAAUUACCCUGCUUUCACCUUUCCAUUUAAACCGGCAUGAUCUGAAUCUCUAAUAAAUUUUCAAGAUAAAAGUAAAAUGCCAAUUUGAAUCUGAAGAGCUUUUAAAACCAGAUGCUACAUCCUGAAUCUUUCGAUACCUUUCACAAUUAUCCUGUGAAAACCGCACUUCAUCACGAAGCACCAUUACCAGUGAAAAUUACUGUGAUUACAAUAGCAACAAUAGAAUACCAUCAAAUGAUCUCUAAUUUACCUAAUUUACCAAGGCUGACUGUGUGCCCAUCGUGUGUCAGCAUGUCUGGCAUCGGAUCAAUAUCACACUGGAGCAAAAAAUGUCUCAAUAUAUAGCUCAUCUUUGUUAUCUUUAACUUUGGAAGCCCAGAAAAAAUGUACCUGCUCUGUUAAGCAUUUUUACAAUUGUAUGUAUUAUAUGUUUGUUUUAAGGAUGUCAUUACUAAUCCAUGUUUUUGUUUAGCUCCCAGUUAUUGGAGGGUACUAGUUGUAUAUAUACAAUUUGUUUAUAUUGUUUACUUAUGCAUAAAGACUGCAGCAAAUAAGUAUUAGGACAGAGAAUCCACAGUACUAAAACAAUAGUGAUACAUCUGUAGAUUAAUUCAAUAUGGGUUUUGUGCCUUACUUGAAUACUUACCUAUUUUUAAGAUAGAAAUCUUACCUGGCAUCGCUGGUCCUGGUUGUAUUAUGUAACAAGUAUUCCGUUUUAAAAUGUACUCAAUAGCCAUAGUAAGAAAACAACUGUGUUUAGCACUAACAGGAUUCCCUCCCCCGUGACCCCACACACACCAUUCAGUAAAUAAACUGUUAUUAUAUAUAUACAUGCUCUGUCAAUAUGUGCUGAUCAUUGGAAAUCUCUGGCGGAAAGUAACAACUUCUUUUCUAACAAGCUGGGAAACAUGAUGCUUCGUCAGAAUCUGCUCUCAUUAUGCCAUUUUGAGAAGCUGUUCUGGUAACAAAUCUUCACUUGGGAAAUGCCCAGUGUAGUUGUUUUGUAGCAGGACACAGGACUUCUGAAACAACAGCCUUGUGUAUUUCACCUUACCCUAAAUUCUCCAGGAAACUGUAGCCUGAAAUCACACUUCAACUUACCAAAGAUAAAUCAAGACCUAUUCAUUUCCAAGUGAAAUUAAAACUUUAGAAGCUGCAUUUGUCCACUAAGUGCUACUGAGAUGAGCAGAAUAAACUUCAGAGGAAUUAUUUCAAAAGGACAAACUUUGUGAUUAAUUAAGAGAACAAGCUAGGGAAGUCAACUGGACUGAAGAUCUCAAGGUCUCAAAGUGGAGGAGGAUGCAAAAUAUAAUUAAGAGGAGUGCAUUGACACGAGGAACUUUAAAUCAACUGUGCAGAUUUCAACAGUGCUACUGCAUACUCCUGAUCCGCUCCCCUUCUGAAGAAGCUUACUCUUCAAAAAGCUCCAAAUGAAAGUAAGUUUACUCAUGCCACAUCUUGCCAAACCGCAUAAUCUGGAAAGGAGUAUUGUGGCUCCAGUUGGAAAGUACUAAUUGGGCUUCAGCCAUCACUGGGAAAGUUGCAUCGUAUUUUAUUAUUUUCACUGGCCAAAUGCCCUUUGUUCCCACAUUAACAGCCUCCCUACGGUGCCUGUAACUUUGAUAUUAUUUUCAUUUUUCUGCUAAAUUUUGCCAGAUGAAAGAUACAAACCCUCCAAUUUUGAAAGGGGUGGGGGGGAAGAAUGUUUUGUUAAUUCCAUAUUUCAAAGACAAAGCCUGUGAAAAUUAUAACCUAUGUCUGCUGGCUAAAGCUGCAUUUAGUAAACCCAUCUUGCCAGCUGUUCUUAUUGGCAAAAGGAAACAUAAUAUUUUGGUAUCUUUAAUUUGUCCGUUUCAGAGCAGAGUUUUGCUUGUGUCAUCAUUUAAACCAUACAUGCUAACAUAAGUCUGGCAAGUAACACUGCACUUUAUGCUGACUCAGUUUUGGACAGUAGCACUAUGAUGUUGCAAUAACACAAUUUCAGAAUAUUAAAUCCAACUUAAAUUAAUUUCCUGACUGAAUUACUGCAGGUGUCCUGAAAAGUGCUGCUGAAAAAAUGUUUUGUAUUUUACUUAAUG